GCUAGCUGUGGUCGUGCUUGUGAUUUUAAUUGAAGCCUUCAUAAAAAUGGUUAAUACAACUUUGAACAAAGUGAAUCAAGAGAUAAUAAACGUCCAAAGCGGUAAAUUGAAAAUAUUAUAGACCAACGAAUUUACAGCUGGAGCACGACCAUCAAGGACAUGAACUAAUGCACCUAGAAAUGUUAGUUGUAAUUCUGUUCUGCACCAUUUUUUUGCAGACGAUCCUUUUAGUCUGGCGGAGAAAGGCGUUUACUUCUUACAGAAUUGUCACCAUGCUUGCCGUUUGGGCCCUCCCAGGAGUUUACUGGGUGACUCAGCUUUACUUUAAACCCCUUUGCAUAUGGCUUUUAUUUAGCAUUAUGAAUGGUUAUAUUGUCUACGAUACUUCGAAGAAAACGCUUUCCAGCGCUACACCGAGAUUUGUUUACCUUUAUUUUCUAACGGUUUACAAGUUGUGCUGCUUUACUGGCCUUGCUGGCUAUCUCUCCAUCUUAUUCCAGUUCUUUUUCUGUUUUAUACUUUCGCUGUUUCAGACCACAAGAAUAUUAUUUGAGGGUUCAGUGCGACUGCUUUUCUAUGCCGUUUAUUACGGGUGUCUUGUUCAAGACUUUGCCGAGUUAUGCGCUGAAAAGAUGUCUUCUUCUAUUUAUCACACGGUUAACGAUCUUCCCCUAAUAAGUUUCCCAACUAAUUCUAACAACUGUUGCAUAUGUGGCCGCACGUUUUCUGAAAAUUAUGUAGAUGAAGCGGUUACUUUGACCUGCAAUCAUCGAGCCCACGAAUAUUGCGUCCGUGGUUGGUGCAUUGUAGGCAAGAAAAGCACAUGUCCUUGUUGCAAAGAAAAGGUUGAUCUUAGAAAACUCUCCAAUUCUCCUUGGACUCAGCAAGACGUGUGCUUUUCACUCAUAUUUGAUUGGAUUCGGUAUCUCAUCGCUUGGCAACCGCUCGUAGUUGUGCUUUCUAAAGCAGUGAUUCGAGCUUUAAACCUAAAAUAACCAAUUGAGACCCGCAAGUAAAGCCGCCUUUUUAAUUCUAUUAAAUUCAGUAAACCGGAUUCAGCGGCCACUUUCCUAGAGUUUUAAAGGAGCCAACAACCGACUACGCUUAUAGAAGGCUCAGCCAUCCUGCCUUUCAUUCUUUUUUAGAGAUCCAAAGUGAAUCCAUACUAACUUUACCGCCUCCAGUAAUUAAUCGUUUAAGG